AAGAAGGGAUUGCUGUUUCAGAACGUUGCAGUAGAAAUUUUGGUUAUCUGCUGAAGCAAGUUUGUGAUCUGGGCCAUGUUCAUGCAAACAAUGCAUUUUGUACAAAAACAAGAAUCUCCUAAAUCAGUUUUUGUUUGACAUAAAUGUGCCUUCUUCAUAUUAAUACAUUCCAGAGGACUCAGCUUAAGACUUGCAUUUGAAUGCGCCUUAUGGUUAAUGCUAUUUAUUUUGUAACCUUUGAGUAUUCUUUUGCUGUGGUAAUUACAGCCGUGCUUUUGAUACAAAGUUCAUUGGUAUCUCCCUUGCAUACUCCCUAUCAACCAACUAUCACAUGCCCAUUUAGUAAACAAAAGAGGGGCUGAACAGUAUCCAUGCAUCCAAACAGCUCCUAAAUGUGAUUCCAAAUGACAGAAACUUAUGUCAACAGGAGAGAUAAAGAGGCUCACCGGACGAAAAGGACGCAGGAGACAUGAAGUUCAGUGUGAGCGGUUAGCGAGACUAUUUAUGAGUAGUCAUUGUUCUUGAAUGAACUGCUGUAGACCGGCAAUUCCAUUAGCGAAAAAUCAGCUUGAAGCCAAACCAUCUUAACUAAAGUGUAAGUUAAAGUGUUUCAUUUUGGAGUUAUAAGGCGCCAGGUUUGAAAUUUUAGGGCAUCGGAGGCUACUAUUAAUUGUAUCAAAAAAAAAGAAAUGUCAUCUGUGAUGUCAGAAUUGGUUAAAUCUUUUCGCCAGAAAAAAAAUGUCUUAAAUGUUUUUAUUUCUUA